rnacentral:rRNA from 1 species
AUUGAACGCUGGCGGCAUGCUUUACACAUGCAAGUCGAACGGCAGCACGGGGGCAACCCUGGUGGCGAGUGGCGAACGGGUGAGUAAUAUAUCGGAACGUACCCGGAAAUGGGGGAUAACGUAGCGAAAGUUACGCUAAUACCGCAUAUGCCCUAAGGGGGAAAGCGGGGGAUUCGCAAGAACCUCGCGUUUUCGGAGCGGCCGAUAUCGGAUUAGCUAGUAGGUGAGGUAAAGGCUCACCUAGGCGACGAUCCGUAGCUGGUCUGAGAGGACGACCAGCCACACUGGAACUGAGACACGGUCCAGACUCCUACGGGAGGCAGCAGUGGGGAAUUUUGGACAAUGGGCGCAAGCCUGAUCCAGCCAUGCCGCGUGAGUGAAGAAGGCCUUCGGUUGUAAGCUCUUCUAGCCGGAAG